GUAAACAAGAGCUAAAUUUUACAUGAUACUUGCAAGAUUGACAGCAAUAAAACACACGAAUGGAUCAGUGUUUUGUGACAGAACAUUGCACACACAUGGUUAAUUGCAGCAUCAAUCUGCUUAUAAAUCAGGAACGAGAAAUGAGAUCAAGAAAUACGAGAAUGGGCGGGGAAACUCAAUUUUCCAUUGAGUUGGUAGUUUAUAUAAUUCCAGGGGAUCAUUUUC
rnacentral:lncRNA from 1 species